UACGACGGCAAAUGGGAAUGCACCGCCCCUCUCUUCCUGCGAAACCGUUGAUGCCUUAGCAACUGAACCUAGCUACGGGGUAAUCCGUUUGUCCCAAUCCCGUCCGAGGAGACUUUGCGUUCACCUCUGGCAAUUUCCGGCUUCUUAGUGGGGACUGAAUGUGACCAGCUGCCUUGAACUCCUGCUGACAUGCCUUCCCCACUAUGAUGGAUUGUACCUUCAAAAUGUAAGCAGAAAACCAUGUAUGGUGGUGCACACCUUUAAUUCCAGCUCUUGGGAAGCAGAGUGCAGUUAUUUUGAAGUUCAUCCAUGGGCUUGCUUGCAUUGACUUAUUACAUGUGUUUGUUGCUGAAUGUUCCAUCAUAGAUGCUGACAAAAUGAAGAGAAACAAAGAAGGUGAAAUUCACAGACACUAACAACAGGCUGGAAGUCAUUACUAUAGUGCAUUGCUUCUUGAAGGUAAUAAUUGAAGGGGCACAAGAAAGAAGAGCUUUAAUAGAGCCCAGAUUUCUACAAGAACAGAUGCCAUAUUAGGUAGGACCUGCUUUGAAGUGAAGGCAACCAAGGACCAACAGCUGCAGCAGGAAAGUCUGCUCUCUCUGUAUCUAUGUAAAGCAGGGUAUACAUUUCCUUGUAUGAAGGUAGCAUAAACAUCUCCCUUCUAUACUGAGAAAAGAGUAAUCAGAAAUGACUACUGGAUAUUUGGAAAUGACUAUUCUGAACACUUUUCUUCUGUAAGUUCUCACAUGUGUCCUACUUACUGAGCAACAAUAUAUUGCUCUUUAUUAGGCUCUUGAUCAUAGUUGCUUAUCUUCUAUUCUCAUAUAUAUCCUACUCAUUGCUCCACAACAUAAUACAUUUUAUUAAGCUCAUGAUCACAGUUGCUUAUUGCCUAUUAGUUCUCACUUGUGUCCUAUUCACUGCACCAUUAUGUGUUAGGCUCCAGGUCACAGUUGUGUUUGGAGUUUUCACUUAUUUUAUGUGAAUCCUAAU